UACGUAGGGUGCGAGCGUUACUCGGAAUUACUGGGCGUAAAGCGUGCGCAGGCGGUGAUGUAAGACAGUUGUGAAAUCCCCGGGCUCAACCUGGGAACUGCAUCUGUGACUGCAUCGCUGGAGUGCGGCAGAGGGGGAUGGAAUUCCGCGUGUAGCAGUGAAAUGCGUAGAUAUGCGGAGGAACACCAGAGGCGAAGGCGGCUCGCUAGACAAGCACUGACACUCAACUACGAAAGCGUGGGGAGCAAACAGG
rnacentral:rRNA from 1 species